AGCGUACACGGUGGAUGCCCUGGCAGUCAGAGGCGAUGAAGGACGUGCUAAUCUGCGAUAAGCGUCGGUGAGGUGAUAUGAACCGUUAUAACCGGCGAUUUCCGAAUGGGGAAACCCAGUGUGUUUCGACACACUAUCAUUAACUGAAUCCAUAGGUUAAUGAGGCGAACCGGGGGAACUGAAACAUCUAAGUACCCCGAGGAAAAGAAAUCAACCGAGAUUCCCCCAGUAGCGGCGAGCGAACGGGGAGGAGCCCAGAGCCUGAAUCAGUGUGUGUGUUAGUGGAAGCGUCUGGAAAGGCGCGCGAUACAGGGUGACAGCCCCGUACACAAAAAUGCACAUAUUGUGAGCUCGAUGAGUAGGGCGGGACACGUGGUAUCCUGUCUGAAUAUGGGGGGACCAUCCUCCAAGGCUAAAUACUCCUGACUGACCGAUAGUGAACCAGUACCGUGAGGGAAAGGCGAAAAGAACCCCGGCGAGGGGAGUGAAAAAGAACCUGAAACCGUGUACGUACAAGCAGUGGGAGCCUCUUAAUGGGGUGACUGCGUACCUUUUGUAUAAUGGGUCAGCGACUUAUAUUCUGUAGCAAGGUUAACCGAAUAGGGGAGCCGAAGGGAAACCGAGUCUUAACUGGGCGCUAAGUUGCAGGGUAUAGACCCGAAACCCGGUGAUCUAGCCAUGGGCAGGUUGAAGGUUGGGUAACACUAACUGGAGGACCGAACCGACUAAUGUUGAAAAAUUAGCGGAUGACUUGUGGCUGGGGGUGAAAGGCCAAUCAAACCGGGAGAUAGCUGGUUCUCCCCGAAAGCUAUUUAGGUAGCGCCUCGUGAAUUCAUCUCCGGGGGUAGAGCACUGUUUCGGCAAGGGGGUCAUCCCGACUUACCAACCCGAUGCAAACUGCGAAUACCGGAGAAUGUUAUCACGGGAGACACACGGCGGGUGCUAACGUCCGUCGUGAAGAGGGAAACAACCCAGACCGCCAGCUAAGGUCCCAAAGUCAUGGUUAAGUGGGAAACGAUGUGGGAAGGCCCAGACAGCCAGGAUGUUGGCUUAGAAGCAGCCAUCAUUUAAAGAAAGCGUAAUAGCUCACUGGUCGAGUCGGCCUGCGCGGAAGAUGUAACGGGGCUAAACCAUGCACCGAAGCUGCGGCAGCGACACUAUGUGUUGUUGGGUAGGGGAGCGUUCUGUAAGCCUGUGAAGGUGGCCUGUGAGGGUUGCUGGAGGUAUCAGAAGUGCGAAUGCUGACAUAAGUAACGAUAAAGCGGGUGAAAAGCCCGCUCGCCGGAAGACCAAGGGUUCCUGUCCAACGUUAAUCGGGGCAGGGUGAGUCGACCCCUAAGGCGAGGCCGAAAGGCGUAGUCGAUGGGAAACAGGUUAAUAUUCCUGUACUUGGUGUUACUGCGAAGGGGGGACGGAGAAGGCUAUGUUGGCCGGGCGACGGUUGUCCCGGUUUAAGCGUGUAGGCUGGUUUUCCAGGCAAAUCCGGAAAACCAAGGCUGAGGCGUGAUGACGAGGCACUACGGUGCUGAAGCGACAAAUGCCCUGCUUCCAGGAAAAGCCUCUAAGCAUCAGGUAACAUCAAAUCGUACCCCAAACCGACACAGGUGGUCAGGUAGAGAAUACCAAGGCGCUUGAGAGAACUCGGGUGAAGGAACUAGGCAAAAUGGUGCCGUAACUUCGGGAGAAGGCACGCUGAUAUGUAGGUGAAGCGACUUGCUCGUGGAGCUGAAAUCAGUCGAAGAUACCAGCUGGCUGCAACUGUUUAUUAAAAACACAGCACUGUGCAAACACGAAAGUGGACGUAUACGGUGUGACGCCUGCCCGGUGCCGGAAGGUUAAUUGAUGGGGUUAGCGGCAACGCGAAGCUCUUGAUCGAAGCCCCGGUAAACGGCGGCCGUAACUAUAACGGUCCUAAGGUAGCGAAAUUCCUUGUCGGGUAAGUUCCGACCUGCACGAAUGGCGUAAUGAUGGCCAGGCUGUCUCCACCCGAGACUCAGUGAAAUUGAACUCGCUGUGAAGAUGCAGUGUACCCGCGGCAAGACGGAAAGACCCCGUGAACCUUUACUAUAGCUUGACACUGAACAUUGAGCCUUGAUGUGUAGGAUAGGUGGGAGGCUUUGAAGUGUGGACGCCAGUCUGCAUGGAGCCGACCUUGAAAUACCACCCUUUAAUGUUUGAUGUUCUAACGUUGGCCCGUAAUCCGGGUUGCGGACAGUGUCUGGUGGGUAGUUUGACUGGGGCGGUCUCCUCCUAAAGAGUAACGGAGGAGCACGAAGGUUGGCUAAUCCUGGUCGGACAUCAGGAGGUUAGUGCAAUGGCAUAAGCCAGCUUGACUGCGAGCGUGACGGCGCGAGCAGGUGCGAAAGCAGGUCAUAGUGAUCCGGUGGUUCUGAAUGGAAGGGCCAUCGCUCAACGGAUAAAAGGUACUCCGGGGAUAACAGGCUGAUACCGCCCAAGAGUUCAUAUCGACGGCGGUGUUUGGCACCUCGAUGUCGGCUCAUCACAUCCUGGGGCUGAAGUAGGUCCCAAGGGUAUGGCUGUUCGCCAUUUAAAGUGGUACGCGAGCUGGGUUUAGAACGUCGUGAGACAGUUCGGUCCCUAUCUGCCGUGGGCGCUGGAGAACUGAGGGGGGCUGCUCCUAGUACGAGAGGACCGGAGUGGACGCAUCACUGGUGUUCGGGUUGUCAUGCCAAUGGCACUGCCCGGUAGCUAAAUGCGGAAGAGAUAAGUGCUGAAAGCAUCUAAGCACGAAACUUGCCCCGAGAUGAGUUCUCCCUGACUCCUUGA
rnacentral:rRNA from 1 species